rnacentral:rRNA from 1 species
CUAUGCGCCUUGCCAGCCCGCUCAGGUGUGCCAGCAGCCGCGGUAAUACGUAGGGGGCAAGCGUUAUCCGGAUUUACUGGGUGUAAAGGGGGCGCAGACGGCGAUGCAAGCCAGGAGUGAAAGCCCGGGGCCAACCCGGGACUGCUCUUGGAACUGCGUGGCUGGAGUGCAGGAGGGGCAGGCGGAAUUCCUGGUGUAGCGGUGAAAUGCGUAGAUAUCAGGAGGAACACCGGUGGCGAAGGCGGCCUGCUGGACUGCAACUGACGUUGAGGCCCGAAAGCGUGGGGAGCAAACAGG